rnacentral:lncRNA from 1 species
UUCCAUUAGUUCACCCAUCCCCUGCAGUGGAUUGCAUACUGUGACUUUUUUGUUCCUGUAAUCUGAAUGCCCUGUAGGUGCUCUACUGAGCCUUUCAGCCCAGUGUAUUAUUGUGUUGCACUACCACUGCAAAGCAGCUGUGGAGCAGUGGUGCAGGAAAGCCCUAAAACUCAGGUGUGGCCUGUCUUAUUUCACUGGUGAUAAGCAGUUUCUCCACAAGUCAGAAUGGGAGUCCAGUGGCAGACUGGAUUGAGCUGAGGAUUUCUGAAUUCAUUUCAGGAGCUAAGGAAAAUCUGGAUAAAAACAGGCCAUGACCAAGUGCUAAAAACCUAAUGUGAAGAAGAGUCUCCAAUGUGUAUCAGUGCUUAGAAGAACACCAGGCAGAAAUACAAGCCAUGGUUAUGUAUUUGAUAGUUCUGAAGUUAUCAUCACUGUCUGUUUUUUGUUGUUUUUUUUCUUAAUUGCAGAAGAAUUCUCUACUAUUCAGAUUAUUUUGUUCCUGCUCAUUCCUGCUAAUCUUCUAUUUUGUUGAGAAAUAUUUCCAACUCCUUUUGUUGUUCUAUAGAACUGAAACAAUAACAUCAACAAAACUAUAUAUAAUAAGUUGUGAUUUCUUUCUUUGAAAACUCAGGGAGAAUAAAGUGGUAAAAGACCACA